AAGUCGUAACAAGGUCUCCGUAGGUGAACCUGCGGAGGGAUCAUUACCGAGUGAGGGCGCCCCCGGGCGCCCGACCUCCCAACCCUUUGAUUUGAUCAAGACCUCCUUCUGCCUCGGGGGCGACCCGGCCUCCGGGCCGCCGGUCCCCCCGGUGGUCACCAACCAAAACCCUGCAUCAAUUGUCGUCUGAGCGGAAAGCAAAUGAAAACAAAACAAAACUUUCAACAACGGAUCUCUUGGUUCUG
rnacentral:misc_RNA from 1 species